rfam:Stegodyphus mimosarum contig127270, whole genome shotgun sequence.
ACCUUCGUGGUGUAGUGGUCGACACACUCGACACGUAUUCGAGAGGUCCGUGGUUCGAGUCCCAGCGAGGGCA